UACGUAGGGUCCGAGCGUUGUCCGGAAUUAUUGGGCGUAAAGGGCUCGUAGGCGGUUUGUCGCGUCGGGGAGUGAAAACCAUGGGCUUAACUCAUGGCUUGCUUCCGAUACGGGCAGACUAGAGGUAUGCAGGGGAGAACGGAAUUCCUGGUGUAGCGGUGAAAUGCGCAGAUAUCAGGAGGAACACCGGUGGCGAAGGCGGGUCUCUGGGCCGAUACUGACGCUGAGGAGCGAAAGCAUGGGGGAGCGAACAGG
rnacentral:rRNA from 1 species